rnacentral:lncRNA from 1 species
CGGGGCCAGCCCCAUACUUCACUUUUAAAAAGUAUUGGUUCUCCAGAAAGAAGAGUCUGAAACAUAGGCUUAUGUGCAAGUAUUGUAUUGGUUUAAAUCUGAUGUUGAAAAAAGAUACCAGAGUUGACUGAAGCCUCUCAUGUACUCCUCCUGGAGCCCAUUUACCUCUCAGUGUUUUCAAGCCAGUAUCCAAAUCAUAAUUUUGGGAGAGAGGAGCAAUGGACUUUUUGAGAAUUCAGAAUGUAAAGAAAGUGUCCUACCGAUUUUUAAGAAAAUCUAAAAAGAACGAAGAUCCCUAUUAGCUGAGAGACCGAGAAGCUCACAGUCCCCAACGCUACAGAUGGUGAUGGAGUGUGGUCUUUCGUGCAAGCUAGGAACUGAUUGUUUAUGCGCUCACCUGUGACUGCCCAGCUCCAGACAAUCGACUUGCCUCCGGGUAGGCCCACCGAGAUAGCAGACCACUACCUGCUGUGUCCAUCAAGCACUGUGCCGACAGGGCAAUCUUGUGACUAUUGUGGGAGGGACAUUUCAUCAUAUGUGAAGCACCCUGUUUGGGGGUAUAUAACCACUCUGUGCACCCCACUUCUUCGGUG